rnacentral:rRNA from 1 species
UAUCACUAAGCGGCGGAAAAGAAACUAACCAGGAUUCCCCUAGUAACGGCGAGUGAACGGGGAUAAGCCCAGCACCGAAGCCUGUGUCCUAUUGGAUACUAGGCACUGUGGUGUUUAGGUGGUGACAUGUCAGCUUAUCUGCUGCCCCAAGUCCAGUAAUGAAUAUGGCUCUUAUAUUGGCCCAGAGAGGGUGAAAGGCCCGUGGGGGUAGUGGUGGUAGGUUGACUUGUUCCACCUUGGAGUCGGGUUGUUUGUGAAUGCAGCCCAAAGUGGGUGGUAGACUCCAUCUAAGGCUAAAUACUGGCACGAGUCCGAUAGCGAACAAGUACCGUGAGGGAAAGUUGAAAAGUACUCUGAAGAGAGAGUAAACAGUGCGUGAAACCGCUGAGAGGUAAACGGGUGUAGUCAAGCUGCAAGCCCUAGGGAUUCAGCCGAUCAGUGUAUUGUGUGUGCAUGAGCACAUUUUUGGUCUGUCGCGGUCUGCCUAAACUGGUGGGCUUGGCUCCUCGUAGCCGAGUGCUUGGGCGUCAAAUGGAUGCUAAGCGCCGUGCAGGAUCCAAAAGCUGGUCGGUGCACUUCCUUAGGGUGUAAGCCACGACCGCCGUUGCUGCCGGUCUGCCGGGAUCAACCUUCUUGGUUGGGCCAUUUGGCUCGGCCAGGUCGGGAUGGCAGGUGGCCAGGUGUGUGCGCUUGCGUACAUAUCGGGUGUUAUAGCCGAUCCUUGGGCGGUGCAUAAACUGUGCAGUUCGGUGGAGAUGUCGACGUGUUGGUUACGGCUUAUGUGCUAAAGUCUGCCGGCGUGGUCAACGUCUGGCUGCCUGUAGUCGAUGCAAAAUUCGGCCUGGCGGCGGCUUGUUCACGGUGUAGCGGGCGGCGGCGUAAGCUAGCCAUCGGCCUUGUGCCGGUUCGUCGUCUAUAGUCUGUGGCGUAGUGGUAGACGAUCCACCCGACCCGUCUUGAAACA